CUUGCCUCUUGUCACACGUUCAAUAUCGGCGUUAAGCCCCGACCGGAGCCUCUUUGUUAUCGUUAAGGCAUUUGCUGCCGGAAUUAUUCUUGGUACUGGUUUCAUGCAUGUCUUGCCGGAUUCUUUCGACAUGUUGUCGUCCGGUUGUCUGAAGGAAAAUCCUUGGCAUAAGUUCCCUUUCACUGGAUUUGUUGCUAUGUUAUCGGCUAUAAUUACGUUGGCUAUUGACUCUAUGGCUACUAGUUUGUAUAGCAAGAAGCACAAAAAUGGUGUCACUCCUGAAAAUGGUGGUCAUGAUCAAGAAAUGGGCACAAUAAAUAAUGGCCAUUUGCAUUCUCAUCACCACGGAUCCCUAAGCUCUAAAGAUGGAGACAUUCAAGGAACAAAACUACUGCGUUACCGAGUCAUUGCAAUGGUUAGUCUCUAUUUCUGGUUAAUUUAUGUGACGUAAUUUGAAAUAAUAUUCCUAGCUAUUCGACAUGAAAUAAUAUUUAAGCUAUAUAUACGCACCUAAAACAUAAAAAAUAUUUACAUACUUAUAGUAUAAGAAAUUUCUUCCACUGGCGGUAUAUAUUAACUUAAAUGCUUCAAGAUUUGAAGGGUUGACAGUGGGUCGUUGCUCUGAAAAAGAAUAGAUUCUUGCCUAAUUCUGGUUGACUGCUCCAAACCAUUCAUAGAUAGAUCCAUUUUUAUACAGCCACAUGCAUGCCUUUUAGUAUCAACUGCAAAUGAUCAGAUUCUUGCCGAUUAUUAGCUAGGUUGCUGCUCUAACCAUUACUAAAUUAGCUAAAACCUACUCCCUUCCUUUCAAAUUCAAAUUAGAUGAGCUACUUCUCUCUCCGUUUUAAAUUUGAUGAGGGACUUUCCUUCUUAAUCUGUUCCAAAAUAAAUGACACAUUUCUAAAUUUGAAAAUAAUUUAACUUUAAACUCUUCAUUUUAUCCAUUAUACCCUUAAUUAGAAGUUUUUAUAACCACACAAAUAUCAUGGCCUCACAAAGUUUUUACCCCUUAAACUUUUAAGAUUAUAAAUUUCAAAAGUUUUUUUUUUUAAAACUCCGUGCCAAGUCAAACUAUCUCGUUUAAAUUGAAACGGAAGGAGUAUUUUAGACGGUGGUCUAUGUGCCUGUGCUGCCUAAUAUUCUAACCCCUUAUGACAACAUUAUUUGCAAUCAAACUAGUCAUUUUAGUAAGUGCAACUAUACAUCUUAUUUACGUUGCUUUCUCCAACUCAAUUUACUUUUAGGAUUUAAUUAGUUGUACAUAUGAGAGUGCAAUAUAUAUUUUGAAGAAUUAAUAUAAAUAGCUGCUCACUUAACUGUUUAAUCUAAAAAUAGUUGGCAAAUGUAUUCUAUGUGUGUAAUUAGUAUAUAAUUUUUAUAUAUACCGGCUAAGAUAAGUAAAGAAUGAAUCCAUCUGACUAUUUGUGUAAAAAUCCCUAUUUUUAGCACUAUGUAAUUUUUAUCAAUUAUUUACACUAGUUUAUUGUUUUAAGCUCCAGUUUACUAUAUCACGUUUCGUAUAAAACUUGUUAUUAUAGUUAAGUGAUGAAGUAAAAAGAUUAUAAAUUGCUAGUGCGUAAACUCUUUCUGUUAUGAAACUACUAUUAUGUAAGGUGCCACCUUAUACGAUUACAAUUUGUGGAGUCACGUUUUUUUAAAUUUAACUACGACUUCUUCAAAAAUUUCAAGAUAUUUGUGAUUUAUAAUACUUCUAAUGGAAUUUUCCUUUAUAAUAUAUGAUUUCAUACUGAAAAUUAAAAUGAUUCGAUCACUGUAUUUCGUAGACAGGUUUUUCAGGGGGAUGGAUAGAUUUGUAGUAUUGCAUGGAGGAUAUUAACAAGAAAGAGUCAAACUCAAAUAAAAUAGGGAAAGGUAAACAUUAGUAUACGGAGUACGUACUUAGAAUUUAGAUGUUGGAAUAAAGCUAAAUUGCUGAUGAGCAUAUGGCCCGCUCUUUGAUAAACUUGCCGGAAAAGGAUGUAGGUGAGGGAUAUUCAUUUAUUACUUCAGUCCUAUUCAUAAGACACUCUUUUCAAGUUUCUCCUUAAAAGAAAAAAACAGACAUUCUUAUAUUUUAAAAAAAUAAUUUUAAAAUUCUACUUUUAUUUUUAAGGACACGAUUAUAUACUCAGAUAGACAUUCACGACAUGUUUUAAGCUACUUUUUAGAUUUAAUGCUCGGUUAAAUACUUUCACAUUAAAUGACAUGUGGGAAUAUCUUCACGGCAAAUGUCAAAAUAUAUAAUAGGAGAUGCAAUCUCUAUCCGAAUCUUAAUCAGCAAAAGUUAUUAGUAUAUAAAUUUUUAGUUUAAAAGUUUAGGUGGACGACUAUUUGAGUUAAUUUCUUUUUUUUUUUUUUUUUUUUUCCUGCAGGUGCUAGAGCUUGGUAUCAUUGUUCACUCAGUGGUAAUAGGGCUUUCUCUAGGAGCUUCAAACAAUACUUGUACAAUUAAAGGACUCGUUGCUGCCCUUUGCUUUCAUCAAAUGUUUGAAGGAAUGGGCCUUGGCGGUUGCAUCCUCCAGGUAAUUAGUUAAUUAACAUUUCCACUUCUUCCAUAAGAUAAAAGAGAUAAUAUAACGACAACAAAAAUAAUAAAUUAUAGCACAUUAGGAAAAAUUGCCGAUUGGAUAACAAGGACAAUAAUUCAAUAAAAAAGGGGAUAGUCUGAGUCGUUGCUGCUUGACUAGUUCACCUCUUUUAUUUUAUUUUAAAAGUGAAAGAAUUUCUGAUGCUUUUCCCGUGUUGUUUUUUAUAAACAGGCAGAAUACAAAAUGUUGAAAAAGGCAGUAAUGGCAUUUUUCUUUUCAGUAACAACUCCAUUCGGCAUAGCACUUGGAAUUGCAUUGGCAAAAACUUACCAAGAAAACAGCCCGCGGGCACUAAUAACCGUUGGAUUGCUGAAUGCGUCAUCGGCCGGCCUUUUGAUUUACAUGGCUUUAGUGGAUCUUCUAGCUGCAGAUUUCAUGGGUGACAAAUUACAAGGUAGCAUCAAAC
rnacentral:lncRNA from 1 species